GAGCUCUGCAGUGUGUAUAUGGAUGUGUGUAUACAUACACACACGCCCAUACACACAUACCCAUACAUACACAGA
rnacentral:miRNA from 1 species